AACGCACAUUGCGCCCCCUGGUAUUCCGGGGGGCAUGCCUGUUCGAGCGUCAUUUCACCACUCAAGCCUCGCUUGGUUUUGGGCGCCGCGGUCCCCGCGCGCCCCGAUGUGAACCGGCCGGGCCGUCCGUCUCCGAGCGUUGUGACAUCUCAGUUCGCUCGCGGGGCCGCGACGGUCGGCGCCGUUAAACCUCCUUCUCAGGUUGACCUCGGAUCAGGUAGGGAUACCCGCUGAACUUAA
rnacentral:misc_RNA from 1 species